rnacentral:lncRNA from 1 species
UGUCCCUAUUCCCAUGGACCUGAGGCUCGGGUUUGCCUCAAACUCGGGCAGUAAACGCACAGCGGUUCCCAGGGCUCCCCUCGGCCCCUCCCUCGCUCUCAGAGGCGCGCGCACGCGCACGCACGCACAGGUGUCCAGCUGACCCCUCCUGAGUGGUAACCAGUUCCGAAGCGCAUGUUCUCCUAGCGACGCCGCGGCGACCGGAGCUACCCUCUCGGGGACUCGCGCUUGUCCCCAGGAGAACCAAAAGGGACAGCUAAGACAAUGAGCACCUUAGCGCCCUGGGACUUUGCCCGUGAUAGAGCUUGCCUCUAGGGCCGCCGCCUAGCCCAGGCGUUGAGCGAUGCCCUCUACUGGGAAGCCUGUGCCUGGAGCCCUGCGCAGGUGGGGGUCGCACAGAAGACCUGGCUCGGGUGGGGGAUGGGAACGGAGAACGAUGACCUGCGUGACCUCUGCUCGGUCUCAGGCAUCCUUCCUCGCCUUCGCCCUCUUUCUCUUCCAAAACUCGAAUUCCCCAACCUGGACCCUCUCCGGGGAAGGUGGCAGAAGCGGGCUCUGCCAGGGAACGCGGGUGCGAAACUGAGGAGGGCGCUGCCUGCUGGAUGGAGUUAGUUUUGGCCGCCUCCUCCUCCUCGCUGUUUCUGCGGAAGGAAGCGCUGCGGCCGCAGCAGCCCUUGGUGCCAGCACAUAUCCCUCCCCGACCUUGGCUGAGAUUUGCUGCCGCGGUGUCUUGACUAGCAGAAAGCACAGUUUCCCUCCCGCGCAGUGACUGGGGAUGCCCUCGGGGCAGAGGAUUUGUCUGGGUCUGCGCCCAACUCUGGACCUCUGCCAUGGAGACCUUUCUGAGCCCUGGAAAAAUUCGUGGAUGCCCGGGUGCAGCCUCCUGAUACUUCCACGUAGCCCAUCCCUGCCCCGCACCUGCCCACGCCCAUUUAGCCAGGUCAUUCAUAUUAAAUCUCCAACCCCAAGUUUCUGCGUGCUUAGGUAGGUGGAUGGAUACCUUCGCCCAGCGAGGGGAGGGAGGAGGGCCCCAGAUGUUCUCCCGUCACGGGGAGGUGUCUCCUUACGUGUGCUGCUUCUUCUCUUUUCUUAAACUCCAAGAGCAGAAGCCAUUCUCUAAUCUGGAAACCCCGUUCCUUGACCUGUUGGCUGUUGGUCCCUGCCCUCUUUAUUUAUUGAAUUUGAAAUUUCCAGCCAGUAGUGGUGAAAUCGCUGGAGCUGAGUACCCGGUUGGUGGGAGGGGUGAGAGAAACUUGCAGAUAGGGGAAAAUAAAGUCCCAAUUUACAGGAACACCUCUUCCUGGCCAGCUGGACUCACUACGGCCCGGAUUUCUUCCCGAUUGGAGAACCUCAAAGAAGACCGCAGCGUGGGCGGCUCUCUAGACCCCCCGAGCUGCCCAGCAGCUGCUGCAAACGCGAGAUUCAGCGCUCCAUUUUUCUGGGAUGGCAGUGCUGUCGCCCCAAACCCCCAGCUUGCUGCUCACCCCCUUCCUUCACCGCCCCUGCACAGGACUUCCCGACCUGGGGGGUUUAUGAUGUGUGUGUGGGGCGGGGGGAAGGUGAGGCACCCCUUCCUCACCCCUGAGACCGAGGGAGAAUCUGGCUCCUGGCAGCCUACUCCAUCAAGUGCCACACUGUUCCUAGACCCCCA